AAUAGAUACCCUGGUAGUCCACGCCCUAAACGAUGUCUACUAGUUGUCGGGGGAUUAAUUUCCUUGGUAACGCAGCUAACGCGGGAAGUAGACCGCCUGGGGAGUACGGUCGCAAGAUUAAAACUCAAAGGAAUUGACGGGGACCCGCACAAGCGGUGGAUGAUGUGGAUUAAUUCGAUGCAACGCGAAAAACCUUACCUACGCUUGACAUGUCCGGAAUCCUGCAGAGAUGUGGGAGUACCCGAAAGGGAGCCGGAACACAGGUGCUGCAUGGCUGUCGUCAGCUCGUGUCGUGAGAUGUUGGGUUAAGUCCCGCAACGAGCGCAACCCUUAUCAUUAGUUGCUACGCAAGGGCACUCUAAUGAGACUGCCGGUGACAAACCGGAGGAAGGUGGGGAUGACGUCAAGUCCUCAUGGCCCUUAUGCGUAGGGCUUCACACGUCAUACAAUGGUCGGUACAGAGGGCUGCCAACCCGCGAGGGGGAGCCAAUCCCANAAAACCCGGAUCGUAGUCCGGAUUGCAGUCUGCAA
rnacentral:rRNA from 1 species